rnacentral:rRNA from 1 species
UACGUAGGCAGCAAGCGUUGUUCGGAGUUACUGGGCGUAAAGGGUGUGUAGGCGGUUGUUUAAGUUUGGUGUGAAAUCUCCCGGCUCAACUGGGAGGGUGCGCCGAAUACUGAAUGACUAGAGUGUGGGAGAGGUGAGUGGAAUUCUCGGUGUAGCGGUGAAAUGCGUAGAUAUCGAGAGGAACACCUGCGGCGAAGGCGGGUUGCUGGGCUGACACUGACGCUGAGGCGCGAAAGCUAGGGGAGCGAACGGG